CUCUUAUCAAGAGAGGUGGAGGGACUGGCCCGAUGAAACCCGGCAACCAGCCUUAGGGCAUGGUGCCAAUUCCUGCAGCGGUUUCGCUGAAAGAUGAGAG
rnacentral:ncRNA from 18 species